rnacentral:sRNA from 1 species
GCCACUUAUUCCAUCAAAAUUGAGGGGAAACCAUACACUUUCCUGCUUGAAAAACAGUCAUUUUUACACCCACAUUUCCUGGUGUAUUUAUACAAUGAAUCAGGAACAUUGUAUGCAGAUUCUUCAUUUUCAAAGGGUCAUUGCUUUUACCAAGGAUAUGCUGCAGACAUUCCAAAAUCAGUUGUGGCACUACGCACCUGUUCUGGACUCAGGCAUGCACUCAUAAAAAAUGCUGUAAUCCUGCAGAUUGUACUCUAGUUGGAGCUGCAGAAUGUGGCACUGGACCAUGCUGUAACAAUAAAACUUGUACG